rnacentral:sRNA from 1 species
GUGGGAAAGUGAGCUUCAGGCCAGAGAAGCCACAAAAGGGCCAGCUGCGGGCCGUCCAGCGGCUGUGCCACUUCUACAGUGCCGUCAUGCCCAGCGAGGCCCAGUGUGUCAUCUACCAUGAGCUCCAGCUCUCCCUGGCCUGCAAGGUGGCCGACAAGGUGCUGGAGGGGCAGCUCCUGGAGACCAUCAGCCAGUUCUACCUGUCCCUGGGCACUGAGCGACCCAUGGGAGGAGGCAGACUGGUUCCAGGAGGAUAAGAGACCUUGUUCUGACACCUGUGUCUGAUUCCAGGGCCUACAAAUCCGCACUGGACUACACCAAACGGAGUCUGGGGAUUUUCAUUGACCUCCAGAAGAAAGAGAAGGAGGCGCAUGCCUGGCUGCAAGCAGGAAAGAUCUAUUACAUCUUGCGACAGAGCGAGCUGGUUGACCUGUACAUCCAGGUGGCGCAGAAUGUGGCCCUGUACACAGGCGACCCCAACCUGGGGCUAGAGCUGUUUGAGGCGGCUGGAGACAUCUUCUUCAAUGGGGCCUGGGAGCGGGAGAAAGCCGUGUCCUUCUACCGGGUGAGCUGGCCUAUGGGCUGAUGUGGGUGGGCCCC